rnacentral:rRNA from 1 species
AACGAACGCUGGCGGCAUGCCUAACACAUGCAAGUCGAACGAGACCUUCGGGUCUAGUUGCGCACGGGUGCGUAACGCGUGGGAACCUUCCCUUAGGUUCGGGAUAACUCCCCGACGGGGGUGCUAAUACCGGAUAAUGUCUUCGAACCAAAGAUUUAUCGCCUUUGGGUGGGCCCGCGUUGGAUUAGCUAGUUGGUAGGGUAAAAGCCUACCAAGGCGACGAUCGAUAGCUGGUCUGAGAGGAUGAUCAGCCACACUGGGACUGAGACACGGCCCAGACUCCUACGGGAGGGAGCAGUGGGUAAUAUUGGACAAUGGGCUAAAGCCUGAUCCAGCACUGCCGCGUGAGUGAUGAAGUCCUUAGGGUUGUAAAGCUCUUUUACCCGGGAUGAUAAUGACAGUACCGGGAGAAUAAGCUCCGGCUAACUUCGUG